rnacentral:rRNA from 1 species
UGGGGAAUAUUGCACAAUGGGGGAAACCCUGAUGCAGCGACGCCGCGUGAACGAAGAAGGUAUUCGUAUCGUAAAGUUCUGUCCUAUGGGAAGAUAAUGACAGUACCAUAGAAGAAAGCUCCGGCUAAAUACGUGCCAGCAGCCGCGGUAAUACGUAUGGAGCGAGCGUUGUCCGGAAUUAUUGGGCGUAAAGGGUACGCAGGCGGUUUAAUAAGUCGAAUGUUAAAGAUCGGGGCUCAACCCCGCAAAGCAUUGGAAACUGAUAAACUUGAGUAGUGGAGAGGAAAGUGGAAUUCCUAGUUUAGUGGUGAAAUACGUAGAUAUUAGGAGGAAUACCAGUAGCGAAGGCGACUUUCUGGACACAAACUGACGCUGAGGUACGAAAGCGUGGGGAGCAAACAGG